AAAAACAUAACUGUAUGAGAUAUUAUGCAGCUUUUUCUGCUCCAUGACAUGUUAAAUAGCCGCAGUACUCUGACUGUGCAAAGGUAGCAUAAUCAAUUGGCCUCUAAUUAAGGUCUGGCAUGAAUGAACGCAUGGGUAAUGACUGUCUGAGGGAUGUUAAUUGAAAAUUAUUAAGUUGGUGCAAAUGCCAACAGGAUUAAAAAAGACGAGAAGACCCUAGAAACUUAUAGUUGAUUUUGCUGGGGCGGCAGAAUUGCAUAUAACCAAUUUUAAUUUACGUGAAGCGACGCAGAAAGAAAAAGUUACUCUAGGGAUAACAGCAUAAUUUUAAUAGUUUGUGACCUCGAUGUUGGACUAGGGAUGUUACCUUCUAGAAGAAGGUAAUUAUGGCUCUGUUCGAGCCCUUAGCCCCUACGUGAUCUGAGGUC
rnacentral:rRNA from 1 species